rnacentral:lncRNA from 1 species
CACAUACAGUAGGGGACUUCCAGGUCUGUGUUCAUUCAGAGAUGAUGCACCUGAACCCUCAAGAGACUGGAGGCCCCAGGGAGUUUAGAGAUUCUCCCAAUGAGAUCAGAAUUUCCUAAUCUACAUAUGGAUCUUGGUCCACAAGAAUACUGCCUGCUAUUUAUCAGGAUACGAUGUGGUCAUUUUCUCUUAACGGAAACAAACCAUCCUAGAGGACGGAGAGAAGCUUACAUCUCUUGCACAGCUCAGGAAUCUCAUGUAAUUUACCAGUCUCAGAAGUUCAGGAAGUUGUAUUAAGCAAGGUUUCUCCCCAAGAUCAUAUGUGCAGAAGUAAUUGCUUUUGAAUAGAGACUCUUCUGUAGGCCAUGAUGCCAGCAGGGAGCUCCGGGCAUAUAGCUCUUAUAAGUCAUAAUCCAUGCUAGGGUGGAAUUUUCAGUGGGACAGCUGCCUCUGAAUUACUUAUGCGUCUUCAAGUAUUCCCAAUAAACUCAUUGGUUCACCAAGCU